rnacentral:rRNA from 1 species
GAUGAACGCUGGCGGCGUGCCUAAUACAUGCAAGUCGAGCGAACGGACGAGAAGCUUGCUUCUCUGAUGUUAGCGGCGGACGGGUGAGUAACACGUGGAUAACCUACCUAUAAGACUGGGAUAACUUCGGGAAACCGGAGCUAAUACCGGAUAAUAUUUUGAACCGCAUGGUUCAAAAGUGAAAGACGGUCUUGCUGUCACUUAUAGAUGGAUCCGCGCUGCAUUAGCUAGUUGGUAAGGUAACGGCUUACCAAGGCAACGAUGCAUAGCCGACCUGAGAGGGUGAUCGGCCACACUGGAACUGAGACACGGUCCAGACUCCUACGGGAGGCAGCAGUAGGGAAUCUUCCGCAAUGGGCGAAAGCCUGACGGAGCAACGCCGCGUGAGUGAUGAAGGUCUUCGGAUCGUAAACUCUGUUAUUAGGGAAGAACAUAUGUGUAAGUAACUGUGCACAUCUUGACGGUACCUAAUCAGAAAGCCACGGCGAACUACGU